AAAAAUCAAUAUAAACUAAAUACGGACAUAUAUAGACAUAUUUUAGAGUAUAUAUUUACCAUUUUGCUUUGUAUAUAGUCCGUUAUUUAAAUCUUUAAAAGGCUUAUAUUUAAAAACGGAUGGAGUAGGUGUUUGCGGAUUGAAAAACAUAAAACCAUCAUAUUGGUGACAUCAUUAGUAAAAAAAAAACACCACAAUACGCACAACUUGCAAAAACUAUGGAACGCAAGAAUAGAUCAACGUGUGGUUCAAACACAGGUGGUUCUAUGCGACUCUACACAGAUUCUACGGAUGGAAAGGAUCAUCUACUUGUCGAGAUACCCUAGUCGAGAAUACGAUGAAAAUCUUAAGGAUUUCACAAGGAGAAUCAGAUCAAUUUGAGGCAUACCAAAGGACCUCCUCAAGCAAUUGAGCUGAGGAAGAGGCCUUCAAGGCACGGGAUCGAUGGAGGCGACAUCGUCCUGAGAGACCAAGGACGUGGGGAUAAUUGGUGGGAAUUGGAACCCUACCCCCCCCCCCCCCCNNN
rnacentral:lncRNA from 1 species